rnacentral:tRNA from 1 species
CGCGGGAUAGAGCAGUUGGUAGCUCGUCGGGCUCAUAACCCGGAGGUCGCUGGUUCGAAUCCAGCUCCCGCAACCA